UGUGUGUGUGUGUGUGUGUGUGUGUGUGUGUGUGUGUGUGUGUGUGUGUGUGUGUGUGUGAGAGAUGCUCAUGCGGAGCGACAGGCAGGUCAACAGGUCACCCUCUGGGACGUCUCAGGGCCCCGGUCGGUCCUGGCUCUCCGCCAAACUGUCUCCCUCACACACACACACACACGCACACACAAAGCCCGUACUGUACUACAUGAGUUACUCGUACUCAUCCAUAUUUUUGAAAGUUCUAUUCAAGUUGUUUGCUUUUCUAAAAACAAAUGAAUUCUGAAUUUUAACACUUUUUAAAAAUAUAUAUACAAAUAUUUAUAUACAUCUGCUCAUUUGACAGAUGCUAAACACUCAUCUUCUGUACAGUUGGAGCUUGAACGAGAUCAGAUCAGGUGAAGACGUCACAGACAUGAAACAAGAAACUUUUGAACGUUAUUCAUAUUUGAUAUUUUCCAGCCUUUAUGCGAGAGAGAGCACAGACGUGAUGAACGUGUCCGGGGGGGACGAGCGGCAGCAAAGGGCCGCAGGUCAGAAUCGAACCCGUGAUGUGAUCGGCUCGAGUGCAGCGAUGGAAAAGAUCUGCACUCCGUGGUGGUGGAGCAGCGGCAGCGGCAGCAGUCUGAUUUGGACGGAGUUUGGACCGAGCGGCACCAGUGAGGAGCUGCUCUCUGAUUGGCCCAACCACAGGAAGAAGAAGAAGACGACGACGACACAUCGGGACGUGAGGAGGAGGAUUCACCUCCGAGGCACAGAAGCGCCGGCAUCCCGUUUUACCCACAUUCAUCUGGGUCCCUGAACUGACCUGGUUCCAGUUCGAGGUAAAUAAAUAUUCUGAAUUUGAUUAAUAGUCAUAAUAUCGUUAUCAUUAUUUUUCCUCUGAUCUCACCGGUGAUGAACAUGUGACGAUCACAGCUUCACUGUAAAAACAUCAAAAGAUAAAACCCUGAGGUUCACUCACACCAUCUCACAUCCAGGGGGCGACGGUGAGUUUCCUCUCACACCAACUUUUUUAUAUUUCAGACUCUGAAAUUCAAAUAAAUCAAACUGAGAAAGAAAAUCAGAGCGACAGAGUCUAUACCGUUAUUGACGCCUUAAUUUUUCAAAUUAAUUUAUUGACGAGUAGUUGUUUCUGAAUCACCCACACAACUGUUUGCUAUUUUAAUGUGUUGUAUUUUAUUUAUUUUUAAACAUUAAAAUAGAAAAACGAUUAACAAACUUUUGUGUUUUGGUCCCAAAA